GUCUGUGGCCAUACCACCCUGAACACACCCAAUCUCAUCUGAUCUCGGAAGCUAAGCAAGGCUGGGCCUGGUUAAUACUUGGAUGGGAGAAAAGCCAGAAUACAAAUAUAUGUGAAACAUUAUAGUCAUAGCUC
ensembl:rRNA 5S_rRNA 5S ribosomal RNA